AGACUAUGCUGACAGGAAGCUCAGUAUUCAGGGGCAUUGCAAAAAUACUUGAGCAGAAGGACAAGUGCCUUAUCAGAAGAAUGCAUGAAGUAAUGAGGGGCUUCCAAAAGAAGAGAUUUCAAGUUGCUCCUGAAGGAAAAGCCAGGAGUUACAUUUCAUCACAGGCAAGUAAGUAAAGUGAGACCCUGCAAGAUUCUAGCCUAGCCACGGAAACUUGGAGAUCGCCAGCUGAAAGACAGAGCAGAAGGUGACUAUUUAUUAUUUAGCACUCAAGACCAGUAUUG